rnacentral:rRNA from 1 species
CGGACCUGACUGCUAUCGGAUCGAUACUAAGCCAUGCGAGUCUUUGUAGUAAUACAAGGCAGACGGCUCAGUAACACGUAGUCAACCUACCCUAUGGACAAGAAUAAUCUCGGGAAACUGGGCAUAAUUCUUGAUAGAUCAUAAUGCCUGGAAUGGUUUAUGGUUAAAAUGAUUCGUCGCCAUAGGAUGGGACUGCGGCCUAUCAGCUUGUUGGUGAGGUAAUGGCCCACCAAGGCGAUUACAGGUACGGGCUCUGAGAGGAGAAGCCCGGAGAUGGGUACUGAGACACGGACCCAGGCCCUAUGGGGCGCAGCAGGCGAGAAAACUUUGCAAUGUGCGAAAGCACGACAAGGUUAAUCCGAGUGAUUUCUGCUAAAGAAAUCUUUUGCCAGUCAUAAAACCACUGGUGAAUAAGGGGUGGGCAAGUUCUGGUGUCAGCCGCCGCGGUAAAACCAGCACCUCAAGUGGUCAGGAUGAUUAUUGGGCCUAAAGCAUCCGUAGCCGGCUUUGUUAGUUUUCGGUUAAAUCCAUGUGCUCAACGCAUGGGCUGCCGAAAAUACUGCAUAGCUAGGGAGUGGGAGAGGUAGACGGUACUCAGUAGGAAGGGGUAAAAUCCUUUGAUCUAUUGAUGACCACCUGUGGCGAAGGCGGUCUACCAGAACACGUUCGACGGUGAGGGAUGAAAGCUGGGGGAGCAAACCGGAUUAGAUACCCGGGUAGUCCCAGCUGUAAACGAUGCAGACUCGAUGAUGCAUUGGCAUAAUAGCCAGUGCAGUGUCGCAGGGAAGCCGUUAAGUCUGCCGCCUGGGAAGUACGUACGCAAGUAUGAAACUUAAAGGAAUUGGCGGGGGAGCACCACAAGGGGUGAAG